rnacentral:tRNA from 1 species
UCCUGGGUGCACCAUUGGUAGGUGGCCUGCCUGUUAAGCAGUUGUAUGCUGGUUCAAGUCCAGCCCCGGGAGCCA